AAACCAACCGGGAUUGCCUUAGUAACGGCGAGUGAAGCGGCAAAAGCUCAAAUUUGAAAUCUGGUACCUUCGGUGCCCGAGUUGUAAUUUGGAGAGGGCAACUCUGGGGCCGUUCCUUGUCUAUGUUCCUUGGAACAGGACGUCAUAGAGGGUGAGAAUCCCGUGUGGCGAGGAGUGCGGUUCUUUGUAAAGUGCCUUCGAAGAGUCGAGUUGUUUGGGAAUGCAGCUCUAAGUGGGUGGUAAAUUCCAUCUAAAGCUAAAUAUUGGCGAGAGACCGAUAGCGAACAAGUACAGUGAUGGAAAGAUGAAAAGAACUUUGAAAAGAGAGUGAAAAAGUACGUGAAAUUGUUGAAAGGGAAGGGCAUUUGAUCAGACAUGGUGUUUUGUGCCCUCUGCUCCUUGUGGGUAGGGGAAUCUCGCAUUUCACUGGGCCAGCAUCAGUUUUGGUGGCAGGAUAAAUCCAUAGGAAUGUAGCUUGCCUCGGUAAGUAUUAUAGCCUGUGGGAAUACUGCCAGCUGGGACUGAGGACUGCGACGUAAGUCAAGGAUGCUGGCAUAAUGGUUAUAUGCCGC
rnacentral:rRNA from 1 species